rnacentral:rRNA from 1 species
UACGAAGGGGGCUAGCGUUGUUCGGAAUUAUUGGGCGUAAAGAGCUCGUAGGCGGCUUGUCGCGUCGGAUGUGAAAGCCCGGGGCUUAACUCCGGGUCUGCAUUCGAUACGGGCAGGCUAGAGUGUGGUAGGGGAGGUCGGAAUUCCUGGUGUAGCGGUGAAAUGCGCAGAUAUCAGGAGGAACACCGGUGGCGAAGGCGGAUCUCUGGGCCAUUACUGACGCUGAGGAGCGAAAGCGUGGGGAGCGAACAGG